rnacentral:lncRNA from 1 species
GGCAUGGAUAUUCACUGCUUAUUUAUUCAUUUAUUUAUUCUGUAAUAAAAUAGUACUGUUUUCACAGACUAGGCUGUAUGAUCCAUAAAUACCCUUGUAAAAUAGAUAUGUAGCAUGUAACAGAAUCCUUUAGAAUAUUCUGUGAAAAAUCUUUUUUCGUUGUUGUUGUUGUUGUUGAUAGCACUUUCAGAACAUUUACAUCCUUCAUCCUGACAUUUUGAAAUAGAACAUUUUUUUUCCUACAGAGGUAAGUUUACAGCAUCAUCACAGUAUUAUAGCUUGUUUAAAAAUACAUACAGCAGUACUGGUAAUUGCAAGCAAGCUGUAGACUUGAGCAGGGGGCUGGUGCCAACUUCACAUGGUUUCUACUUUAUAAAACAAUGACAUUUAUUAAUAUUACAUCCAUCACUUGGUUAGAAAAGAUGACUUAGAUGUGCUACUCACAAGAAAUCUGUCAUUUCUCUGUGGCAUCACAGGCCAGGCUAUGGAAAUAGAAACACUCCGUGGUAUGGGUGGUUUAAAAAGGGUUUGAUGCCUAAUUAAAAAAGGUGGUUUAGGCUGUCUCUUCCCAUAGGAAUUUGAGUUCCACUGACACUGGAUGUUCUUAAUCCGCUUGUGGGAAUGGCAUGAGCAGCUCUCAGCACAACCCUGGUGUGAAGGCAGCACUGAAAUGUCACUGAAAUGUGGGCUCAGGAGCAGCCUGGGACCCGCUCGCUGCAGCACCUGCAGCGCUGCUGGCACCAGAGCAGCACAACUGCCCUGCUUUGGACCAGCUGAGCUGCUUUGGGACACCCCAAAUCUGCCUCUUCACCUUCCAGGGGGGCUGGAAGCAACAGGUUGAAAUUUGAUGGUUAAGUAGUACACAGAAAAAUUGUGGUCAGGGUUGGAAUGGAGCUAAAAACUCUUCCCAUUCCAGCCCUGCCAUGGCAGGGACACCUCCCACUGUCCCAGGCUGCUCCAAACCCCAAUGUCCAGCCUGGCCUUGGGCACUGCCAGGGAUCCAGGGGCAGCCACAGCUUCUCAGGAAUCUGUGCCAGGGCCUGCCCACCCUCACUGGCACUGCCACAGUUUGCCCAGCGAGGAUUAAAACGACAGAAGAGAUUAAAAAUACAUAAUUGCAUUGGUUUUACUUUGCACAAAUGAGACUAAAUGUAUAAAUAUAUAUAUAUAUGUAUAAUAAAGCGGUAGGAAAUCUCCAAACUGCUAACAACUCUUAGAAAUGAGAUAAAACAAGGAUGUAUCUGCUUGGAAAUUUCAAAUUUGCAGUUCUCUCAUGAUUUUCAGGUAAUUCAAGAGUACUUCAUGGUGGAUCCUGGAUUUCUCUUUUUAUGAAACAAGUCCAGGUGUGCUUUGGCAAAUGCUCUUUUCUUGGUCUCUCUGAUACUCCUCUUGUGCUUUCUGCAGUCUUUUCCCUCUGAGUUUCCACUUGUGGAAGCAGUAGGUGAUGAGGGAUGUCAUCAGCAGGGAGAAGAGGAUGACCAGCACGACGAUGAGUGCGAUGGUGGACGAGAGGGACCCGUCCAGCUGCUCGCUCUCCGUGUCCCUGGUGGAGUUGACAUCAGCAAAGGGUUUGGAGGCAGGGAGAGCAGGAGCUGCAGCCUGUGGCACCAAGUCUCCAGCACAGGGCAGCUUUUUCCCAGGUGCUGAGCUCAGGGAUGUGCUGCCUUCUUCAUCAAGGAGCAGGGAAGGCUCAGCCAGCUGCCAGUUUGGUGUUGCUUGUUUCCUGCAAGAGAAAAUUGGAGAAAAUCCCAUCAAUUUUCCAGUGGUGGCAGAGCUUGUCCUGGGGCUGAAAGCAAAACAAGUGCUGCAACAAGUGUGACUUUCUAUCACAGCAAUUGUUUCAGUGAGAGAUUUUUUUCCUUUCCCAAAAUAUUCCCAGAAGAGAGGGAAAUCAAAGGCCUGUUUUGUACAUUACCUACAGUAAAAAAAUCAGCUGCAAACUGAUUUUGUGAGAACUCAGGGAGUUCUCACAUUAAUGAAGGGAUUUAACUUCCCCUCUUCUCUUGGACUGGGCUUGAAUUUGGGGUUUUAAUCCUCUGGAGUUUUAGUUAUAGUGGGAUUGAGGUUUCCUGAGGAUGGCAAAUCUGGGAUCUGCAGAAAGGUCCUGGGUGAAAAACCACCCCGAUUAGUGGAGAGGUGAGCUCCCCUGCAGGCACUGAGCUGUAAACUGCAAUUUAACCCCCCACCCUUCCACAGUUCUGAUGGAAUUUCAAAGACUUUUAAGUCAUUUGCCUUUGAUAUGAGCUGUGUGUGACAAAUCCUGAAAAAUUCACUCAUCUGAGCAGUUCUGAAACCCAAAGCUGCUCUGCCCUCCCCAUUCCCUCCCGGAUCCAAAUCCCAUUUUGGAGUGAAACCUGAGGAACAAGGCUGCUCUGCUCUAGAUUCCUGCUUCCAAUCGGGACAGGAGGAUUUGCCUCAGGAUAUUUUCCUCUGAGGAGCUGUAAGCACGUUCAGGGCUAUUUAUUUCAAACAGCUUGCUCCAGUCCCCCUCCACCCUCUCCCAAAUGCUUGGAGGCCAAAUUUAGGUUUCAGAGAUCUUGGAGCAUCAUUGUUUGGAGAUGCUGUGUUUGAUAGGAUGCACUUCAUCCUCUUAAUAGAAAUAAAGUUCAUCCCACUCAGGCUCACAGAGAACUGAGGGUCUCUUUUCCUAAUUACCAUCACCUUCUGAUUAGUAAUAACCACUGUUUAUAUAGCUCAGCAUUCUGUUGGUGCUAAAAGAUGUAAAUAACAUUUCCUGCCAGUUUGGAACAAUAUGUUCACAGAGUCAGAGAGGAAUGGGGAUUUUCAAGGAAGUUUAGAACUCAGAUUCUGCUGAGGGAGAGCUGAUGGAAAGCUCAUUUCACGUAAGGGACCGAGUGCACCGUGGCCCAUCUUUGAUGAAUGCCUACAAGUGGCACUGCUGGCAGGCCAUGCAUCAGGAGGGGGUGACAACAGAAUAUUUCAGUGUUCUACAUCUCUCCCAAGUAGCCUGAAGAAAGCAACUGCAAUAAAAGCACUCGAGAAGCUGAGAAAUGCCCCCGUGAUUUAUGGAGCAGCCAAGUGCCCACCUCCCCGUGGAAGUCCAGGAGGGGAAUGUCUCAGCACCGGGGGAAAUCUGGAUUGUCACACUUGCCUUAAGCUGCAUCUCAUCUCAUCUGUGCCCACAGCCCUCAGGUUCCUGGGGGAGGAGAAAACAAAACCACAGAGUCACGAUGCAGCUGGCUCUGUGCUGCUCCAGGAGGGGGCAGGGGUGCUGUUUGUGACUGCCCCAAACUAGGAAAACUUUUAAAUCCCAAAUCUGCAAAGCUCUGCUUGGGCUCCGGCUGCAUUUUGGGGAAGGAAAGUGCUUUUCUGGGCAAAUCCCUUCUGAACAGCCUCUGAGGGGUCUGCUGGUGAUUCUGGAGGGAUGGUGACCAAACCUGUGGGUCACAGCAGUGUCACCUCUACUCCUGUGGGUCACAGCAGUGCCACCUCUACUCCUGUGGGUCACAGCAGUGUCACCUCUACUCCUGUGGGUCACAGCAUGCCACCUCUACUCCUGUGGGUCACAGCAGUGUCACCUCUGCUCCUGUGGGUCACAGUAGUGCCACCCCUGCUCCUGUGGGUCACAACAAUGCCACCCCUGCUGCCUGAGGGCCAGGAAUGCUCCUUGCUGCUGCCCAGGGAUGGACUUGGGGGAGCAGAUUGGAGAGCAAAGGGUGGGAGACACCCCAAAAAGUGCCAAGGGAGAAGCUCCUUCCUGGGUGGGUGGGAGGGGGGUGGCACAAGGCUGAUGGAGCUGCUGCAGCUGGCAGGGAGCAGGCAGGGCCAGCAGAGCUGCUCUGCUCCUCUCAGGCUGCAGGGGCACAGGGGCACAGGGGCACAGGGGCACAGGGAGGCUCAGCUCACAUCCCAGCACUGGAAUCUCACUGGCAGCACAUCCUCAGCAGGCACUUCCCAUUAAAACCCCCCAAAUCUCUUCCUCUUCCAGGCUUUAGCUGAAUGCCAGCAGAAGAGAAUAAAUAAAACUGAGAUUGUUUGCUUGGGUUUGUGUGAGUCAUAAGCCUUCAGUGGCUCUGGCCUGAGCCCUGCAAACAUUGCAGUCAGGAGCUCAGGGCUGGGCACAUUUCAUUCCCAUUCAAAUAUAUUAGAAAGAUUUAAGUAUUGACAAAAAGAAUGUGAUUGUUUGUUUUUAUUAAUCUGGAAAUUUGUUAGAAUAAACAUCUUGUGCAAGCACAUUAGAAUAUCUGGAAGUUGAAUUAAUUUUUAAAGCUUUUAAUGAAAUAAUAAUGUUUUACCCUGGGACUUCUACAAGCUCAGACUCUUGGUGUAGGAUGUCCUUGCCUUGGGAUGGACUUUCCUACCCUGGCUCAUGUUCCCUUGUCUUUUUUAGCAAGUUAUAAAGUAAACUACAACUCAGCACAACGUGGGAAAGACAAAAUCUGCUCCUUGAUUUGUAAUAUCCUUAGGACAGGCAUUGUCUUCCCUUUGUUCUU